GUUGAAGUGGAAGAAGUGCACUGCGCAUCCCCCAAAAUCAUUUUAUAAAUUGAAUCACAGCUUUGGGCUGAGUUCCAACGCAUCACAAAAGUCAUCCUAUGGAACCAGUUCUAUGCUGUGCUUGGCCAAUAUACACCUGGACUGGUGGCCUUGUAUAGGCAGAAGGCGGAAUUUGGUCAGCACAUCCAUACUGAAAGAAGUAUGAAAUAUGUGAUAUUCAUUUUUGCUUGUUCUUCCAGGCAGUGUGCAAUGUCAAUAUAAAGCGUACUGUAGCCCUUUGUGCCCUCCCGGUAUACCUGCGUGAAGAGGACCCUCAGUUCUUCAAGACUUGGAAUGUGGAGGAGUCAGAUGAGCCAGGCAUCAGUGACACUCCUGCUGCUCUCUUCACAGCAGUCACAGAGGACACUGCAGAUCCAGUUCAUUUCAGUCCUGCAAACAUUUCUAUUGUUGUGGAAGACGAUGUUGUGAUGAGAGAUAUCCCUAACUUGGAUGAUGCAUUUGCAUUGUUUGGGUUGAUAUACACAUUGCAUUUGGACUAUCCCAAGAAACUCUUUCACACUUUUACAUUCAUCCAGAAAAUCCUACUGGGUCUUGGUGAUGGUAAACCACUUAAACCCAGCCUACUGAGUCUCAAAAAUGACCUGUUAAUGAAAGAGUAGGCUAACUUAAGAGUUGUGUUCACAAGAAAAUACACAUCUGCAUGUUGUGUUUUUGGGGUUCCCAGUAUAGUAACACCAUGUUAGUCAAAGCAUUUAAAACUGUUUACAUUUUGCGGAUCAUGUCUUGCCCACCAAAUCUAACAUAGUUGCUGUUGUUUAUACUAAACUUAAUAAAACAGAGAGCUAAAGCUGACAGGAUAAAAGCAAAGAGCGGGAAGAUGUUUGUCUAUAGAGUGAGUAUAUAGAGAGAGCAAACUCAAGCAGAGAAAGUUAAAAUAGUCACAAGUUUGGGUAUCAGAUAUUUAUCUGAUACACCAAUACACACCAGUAAAUGAUUGGAUUUGGAUUACCUGUGAGGUUUAUCAGGAAUGAAAAAAACCAAAACGGUUAAAGGUCAUAAUAUAAGACUUAUGAGACUGUUUAGCUACGGGCAAACGAGAUAUGUUAUUUAAUCUCUGCUCUACGUUUUUUUCUAAAUAUGCAACUUUUUGCUGGCAUUAGCAAUGCAAAUGUGGCGGGAUUAUGUAGAAAAUGAAUACAAAAUUGAAAUAGUUUGUUCUGUUUUAGCAAUACAACUGCUCCACUUUGAGACCACAGAUGUUGUUUGAUACAUGCGGAGUCUUUUACCACUGGUGGUAAGCAGUUGGUGCUACAAUACCUUUUGUGUGAUGGCUUUAACUGGAGUUAUGA